CCCACGCAGGUCACAACGCUGUGCUUCUUCUCACUACCUUAGCCACAAUUCGGGCCAGAGCGGCAAAAUUGUUCCGAUGCAUACUGAAUAAGUGCGAGUAUGGGGGGGAAUUCUUCAGGCCUGGCCACAGUACUAUGGUGACACUUUUUGUGGGGCUCCCAAGACAGAUGGGGAAAGCUUCAUUAAAUUCACUCCUUGCUAUUAAAGGAAACGUGAAGUAGAGGGUUUAGAUACCACAAAACUUCAUCAUGGCCUUUCUGUCCUCCUAUCUUCUAGCUCUUGGAGACACUUCCGGUGACCUGGCCAAUACAUACAGUCGGCCGGGCGUCCCCUUGCUUUAUUGCUCAGAGACCCUUAGCAAGAUGUUUCCGCCACCAUAGGCAGGRGUGCUUGCGUAAACUUUUCCUUCUCUUAAGCGGGGAAAGCUCUCUCUCACUUCCGCUCUCUGGCCUGCUGGCCCCGCCUCCCUGCCCCCCGCUGGGUCCUAGCGCCUUCCCCUUUCUGGUAGUGUUCUGGGCUCUGUUGGUGCGUGAAGCCGACGCAGAUGCCACGGAGCCAGUCCAAGUCGGAUCAGAUCUGCCUUUUCUAAACUCUUACUCAACAACUUGGCCUGAGAUAAUUAAAAAUUUCUGGUCAGGGCACACUGUGAUGAAAUUGGAAGGUCUUGAUUGGAAUCCAUUUACCCACAGCCCUUUAUGGGGUAAGAGCCUGAGGCUUACAUUUUUGGUCUUUUUGGUGGACAGACAUUGUCUUAUGGCAGUUGAAGGCUUCCGUCCAGGUUACUCUGACAUGCCUGAAGGCUGGCAAUUAUAAGUCCCUGAACACCCAUGCCCUUUAGGGUAAAAACACCACUUUGUCUUCCUUUUGCCCUCUCAUCUUUACCUCUGGACCAGCAGAACAUCAUGGGACCUCACUCAGGGUUCAAAUCAAUGGGAACUCUAAUGCACAUUAAAGGUAAAAAGCAUUUUUAAUCUCUUUGGUUUAAAGUACUYCAAUCUAAAACUCCUCUUCUCAUACUGCAUUACAGGAUUACCUAUAGGUUUCUUUGCUGCUUGAUAUCUGCCCAUCUUAGGCUUGCUAUCCUAUUUGGGCCACUGGGACUUAAAUGUUUGUUCUUUCUUUUCUUUUAUUUAAUAUAUUUUUUUUUAGUUGUACAUGGAUACAAUACCUUUUUUUUAUUUUUAUGUGGUACUGAGGAUUGAAUCUUCCACAUGUAAGGCGAGCAUUCUACCACUGAGCUACAACCCCAGCCCAGUUGUUCUUUCUUUUUUUGUAUUCUGGGAUUAUGUUCUUAAUAAAUUUCUCUCUAAAURCCA
rnacentral:lncRNA from 1 species